GGCUUGGCUCAAGCAACAAUUUUCAGAGUGCACGUAAGUAUCAACGCGUAAAACUUAACAUUUUACAGUGUUAUUUGGUAUUAUUCUCUAUGAAGCUGUCUGGAUCGGUCUCCUUUUCCCAUUGGUUAAUUGGUUAAUGCUCAGAUUUUGGCUCCUAGAAUCGAUCUGUGUGUUCCCGGUCUUGGCAUCUCAUUAUGUCAUUUGCUGUAUUUUUUGAUAUAUUAUUGUACGUGCAAAUUGAGGUGAAUUUGUUGUUUUAGAUUAAGACUGUUGGACUCAAGCUACAACGAGGUGUCUCUGAUGUAAAAAACUGCAGUUUAAGAUUAUGCCUCAUUGAUGCUACUCACAGAGACGUGGAUGUGCUGUUACUGCUUUCUAACUCUGCCUACUACGUGGCCUAUUAUGAUGAUGAAGUUGAUAAAGUAAACCAGUAUCAACGACUAAGUCUAGAAAACCUGGAAAAAAUUGAAAUAGGCCCUGAACCCACUCUUUUUGGUAAGCCAAAGUUCUCCUGCAUGCGACUGCACUACAGAUACAAAGAAGCGAGUGGCUAUUUCCACACAUUGCGAGCUGUAAUGCGUAAUCCUGAAGAGGAUGGAAAAGAUACCCUUCAGUGCAUUGCAGAGAUGCUGCAGAUCACCAAGCAAGCCAUGGGAUCGGAUUUACCCAUAAUUGAGAAGAAACUU
rnacentral:lncRNA from 1 species